rnacentral:rRNA from 1 species
GUGGGGGAUAUUGGACAAUGGGGGGAACCCUGAUCCAGCGAUGCCGCGUGAGGGAAGAAGGUUUUCGGAUUGUAAACCUCUGUGGAGGGGGACGAUAAUGACAGUACCCCUUUAGGAAGCCACGGCUAACUACGUGCCAGCAGCCGCGGUAAUACGUAGGUGGCGAGCGUUGUCCGGAAUUACUGGGUGUAAAGGGAGUGUAGGCGGGAAAGCAAGUCAGAAGUGAAAACUAUGGGCUUAACCCAUAGCCUGCUUUUGAAACUGUUAUUCUUGAGUGAAGUAGAGGCAAGCGGAAUUCCCAGUGUAGCGGUGAAAUGCGUAGAUAUUGGGAGGAACACCAGUGGCGAAGGCGGCUUGCUGGGCUUUUACUGACGCUGAGGCUCGAAAGCGUGGGGAGCAAACAGG